GGGUUGUGAGGUUAAGCGACUAAGCGUACACGGUGGAUGCCCUGGCAGUCAGAGGCGAUGAAGGACGUGCUAAUCUGCGAUAAGCGUCGGUAAGGUGAUAUGAACCGUUAUAACCGGCGAUUUCCGAAUGGGGAAACCCAGUGUGAUUCGUCACACUAUCAUUAACUGAAUCCAUAGGUUAAUGAGGCGAACCGGGGGAACUGAAACAUCUAAGUACCCCGAGGAAAAGAAAUCAACCGAGAUUCCCCCAGUAGCGGCGAGCGAACGGGGAGGAGCCCAGAGCCUGAAUCAGUGUGUGUGUUAGUGGAAGCGUCUGGAAAGGCGCGCGAUACAGGGUGACAGCCCCGUACACAAAAAUGCACAUGCUGUGAGCUCGAUGAGUAGGACGGGACACGUGGUAUCCUGUCUGAAUAUGGGGGGGCCAUCCUCCAAGGCUAAAUACUCCUGACUGACCGAUAGUGAACCAGUACCGUGAGGGAAAGGCGAAAAGAACCCCGGCGAGGGGAGUGAAAAAGAACCUGAAACCGUGUACGUACAAGCAGUGGGAGCACAGAGCAAUCUGUGUGACUGCGUACCUUUUGUAUAAUGGGUCAGCGACUUAUAUUCUGUAGCAAGGUUAACCGAAUAGGGGAGCCGAAGGGAAACCGAGUCUUAACUGGGCGUUAAGUUGCAGGGUAUAGACCCGAAACCCGGUGAUCUAGCCAUGGGCAGGUUGAAGGUUGGGUAACACUAACUGGAGGACCGAACCGACUAAUGUUGAAAAAUUAGCGGAUGACUUGUGGCUGGGGGUGAAAGGCCAAUCAAACCGGGAGAUAGCUGGUUCUCCCCGAAAGCUAUUUAGGUAGCGCCUCGUGAAUUCAUCUCCGGGGGUAGAGCACUGUUUCGGCAAGGGGGUCAUCCCGACUUACCAACCCGAUGCAAACUGCGAAUACCGGAGAAUGUUAUCACGGGAGACACACGGCGGGUGCUAACGUCCGUCGUGAAGAGGGAAACAACCCAGACCGCCAGCUAAGGUCCCAAAGUCAUGGUUAAGUGGGAAACGAUGUGGGAAGGCCCAGACAGCCAGGAUGUUGGCUUAGAAGCAGCCAUCAUUUAAAGAAAGCGUAAUAGCUCACUGGUCGAGUCGGCCUGCGCGGAAGAUGUAACGGGGCUAAACCAUGCACCGAAGCUGCGGCAGCGACGCUUAUGCGUUGUUGGGUAGGGGAGCGUUCUGUAAGCCUGUGAAGGUGUACUGUGAGGUAUGCUGGAGGUAUCAGAAGUGCGAAUGCUGACAUAAGUAACGAUAAAGCGGGUGAAAAGCCCGCUCGCCGGAAGACCAAGGGUUCCUGUCCAACGUUAAUCGGGGCAGGGUGAGUCGACCCCUAAGGCGAGGCCGAAAGGCGUAGUCGAUGGGAAACAGGUUAAUAUUCCUGUACUUGGUGUUACUGCGAAGGGGGGACGGAGAAGGCUAUGUUGGCCGGGCGACGGUUGUCCCGGUUUAAGCGUGUAGGCUGGUUUUCCAGGCAAAUCCGGAAAAUCAAGGCUGAGGCGUGAUGACGAGGCACUACGGUGCUGAAGCAACAAAUGCCCUGCUUCCAGGAAAAGCCUCUAAGCAUCAGGUAACAUCAAAUCGUACCCCAAACCGACACAGGUGGUCAGGUAGAGAAUACCAAGGCGCUUGAGAGAACUCGGGUGAAGGAACUAGGCAAAAUGGUGCCGUAACUUCGGGAGAAGGCACGCUGAUAUGUAGGUGAAGUCCCUCGCGGAUGGAGCUGAAAUCAGUCGAAGAUACCAGCUGGCUGCAACUGUUUAUUAAAAACACAGCACUGUGCAAACACGAAAGUGGACGUAUACGGUGUGACGCCUGCCCGGUGCCGGAAGGUUAAUUGAUGGGGUCAGCGCAAGCGAAGCUCUUGAUCGAAGCCCCGGUAAACGGCGGCCGUAACUAUAACGGUCCUAAGGUAGCGAAAUUCCUUGUCGGGUAAGUUCCGACCUGCACGAAUGGCGUAAUGAUGGCCAGGCUGUCUCCACCCGAGACUCAGUGAAAUUGAACUCGCUGUGAAGAUGCAGUGUACCCGCGGCAAGACGGAAAGACCCCGUGAACCUUUACUAUAGCUUGACACUGAACAUUGAGCCUUGAUGUGUAGGAUAGGUGGGAGGCUUGGAAGUGUGGACGCCAGUCUGCAUGGAGCCGACCUUGAAAUACCACCCUUUAAUGUUUGAUGUUCUAACGUUGACCCGUAAUCCGGGUUGCGGACAGUGUCUGGUGGGUAGUUUGACUGGGGCGGUCUCCUCCUAAAGAGUAACGGAGGAGCACGAAGGUUGGCUAAUCCUGGUCGGACAUCAGGAGGUUAGUGCAAUGGCAUAAGCCAGCUUGACUGCGAGCGUGACGGCGCGAGCAGGUGCGAAAGCAGGUCAUAGUGAUCCGGUGGUUCUGAAUGGAAGGGCCAUCGCUCAACGGAUAAAAGGUACUCCGGGGAUAACAGGCUGAUACCGCCCAAGAGUUCAUAUCGACGGCGGUGUUUGGCACCUCGAUGUCGGCUCAUCACAUCCUGGGGCUGAAGUAGGUCCCAAGGGUAUGGCUGUUCGCCAUUUAAAGUGGUACGCGAGCUGGGUUUAGAACGUCGUGAGACAGUUCGGUCCCUAUCUGCCGUGGGCGCUGGAGAACUGAGGGGGGCUGCUCCUAGUACGAGAGGACCGGAGUGGACGCAUCACUGGUGUUCGGGUUGUCAUGCCAAUGGCACUGCCCGGUAGCUAAAUGCGGAAGAGAUAAGUGCUGAAAGCAUCUAAGCACGAAACUUGCCCCGAGAUGAGUUCUCCCUGACUCCUUGAGAGUCCUGAAGGAACGUUGAAGACGACGACGUUGAUAGGCCGGGUGUGUAAGCGCAGCGAUGCGUUGAGCUAACCGGUACUAAUGAACCGUGAGGCUUAACCUUACAACGCCGAAGGUGUUU
rnacentral:rRNA from 1 species